GAUGAACGCUGGCGGCGUGCCUAAUACAUGCAAGUCGAGCGAACGGACGAGAAGCUUGCUUCUCUGAUGUUAGCGGCGGACGGGUGAGUAACACGUGGAUAACCUACCUAUAAGACUGGGAUAACUUCGGGAAACCGGAGCUAAUACCGGAUGAUAUUUUGAACCGCAUGGUUCAAAAGUGAAAGACGGUCUUGCUGUCACUUAUAGAUGGAUCCGCGCUGCAUUAGCUAGUUGGUAAGGUAACGGCUUACCAAGGCAACGAUGCAUAGCCGACCUGAGAGGGUGAUCGGCCACACUGGAACUGGGACACGGUCCAGACUCCUACGGGAGGCAGCAGUAGGGAAUCUUCCGCCAUGGGCGAAAGCCUGACGGAGCAACGCCGCGUGAGUGAUGAAGGUCUUCGGAUCGUAAAACUCUGUUAUUAGGGAAGAACAUAUGUGUAAGUAACUGUGCACAUCUUGACGGUACCUAAUCAGAAAGCCACGGCUAACUACGUG
rnacentral:rRNA from 1 species